rnacentral:rRNA from 1 species
AUUGAACGCUGGCGGCAUGCUUUACACAUGCAAGUCGAACGGUAACAGGUUAAGCUGACGAGUGGCGAACGGGUGAGUAAUGCAUCGGAACGUGCCCGGUCGUGGGGGAUAACGCAGCGAAAGCUGCGCUAAUACCGCAUACGAUCUGAGGAUGAAAGCGGGGGACCGUAAGGCCUCGCGCGAUCGGAGCGGCCGAUGUCAGAUUAGGUAGUUGGUGGGGUAAAGGCUCACCCAGCCAACGGUCUGUAGCUGGUCUGAGAGGCCGACCAGCCACACUGGGCCUGAGACACGGCCCAGACUCCUACGGGAGGCAGCAGUGGGGAAUUUUGGACAAUGGGCGAAAGCCUUAUCCAGCAAUGCCGCGUGCAGGAAGAAGGCCUUCGGGUUGUAAACUGCUUUUGUACGGAGCGAAAAGGUCUCCUCUAAUACAGGGGGCUCAUGACGGUACCGUAAGAAUAAGCACCGGCUAACUACGUGCCAGCCGCCGCGGUAA